rnacentral:lncRNA from 1 species
CUUCCUUAAGUGGCUAUUACUGGAUUUCUCCUUCCAGCCUAGGGAUAAGCAGGAUUCUGGGCUUUAAAAAGAUCUCUAGUGGGCUGAAUAAGAAAGUGACAACUGAAGAAUGUCAUGGCAAAACUUCGAUAUGUUCUAAUUACAGCACCGUUAAUGAGAAGAACAUUUGUCAGAUCAGAGCAUUCAUCACGUUCAGCAGAGACACGCUGAAAUCAUCUAUUCACGUAGAGUCUGAAAACGUUCUACUCGUGUCUCGUUCGAUGCCACAGAAGGUAGUGUCUGGCAAUACAAGGUCACACCACCUUCUCAUGUUCUUGGAAGAUAAAGGAAGAGGAAAUACAAGCUCAUAUAUUUCAAGAAUGAGAAAACGAACAACAUGGGAAAACACACACACAAACCUGGCAGAACUGAUGAUUUAAACUUGAGCUCCAAAGAAACACACAAUUGAUGGUCCAACACUUGUGAUGGACCAGUC